rnacentral:rRNA from 1 species
GAUGAACGCUGGCGGCGUGCCUAAUACAUGCAAGUCGAGCGAACGGACGAGAGGCUUGCUUCUCUGAUGUUAGCGGCGGACGGGUGAGUAACACGUGGAUAACCUACCUAUAAGACUGGGAUAAUUUCGGGAAACCGGAGCUAAUACCGGAUAAUAUUUUGAACCGCAUGGUUCAAAAGUGAAAGACGGUCUUGCUGUCACUUCUAGAUGGUUCUGCGCUGCAUUAGCUGGUUGGUAAGGUAACGGCUUACCAAGGCAACGAUGCAUAGCCGACCUGAGAGAGUGAUCGCCCACACGAGAACUGAGACGCGGUCCAGACUCCUACGGGAGGCAGCAGUAGGGAAUCUUCCGCAGUGGGCGAAAACCUGACGGAGCAACGCCACGUGAGUGAUGAAGAUCUUCGGAUCGUAAAACUCUGUUAUUAGUGAAGAACAUAUGUGUAAGGAACUGAGCACAGCUUGACGGUACCUAAUCAGAAAGCCACGGCUAACUACGUG